AUUUUUAGGCCAUGCUCUGCUCAACAACUCUCAAAUGGAAAAACAAUUGAAAGGUUUUUUUUUUGGUGCUUAUUUCCAAGUUGAAUUUCUUUCUUUCUUUCUUUGCUUUUUCCUCCAGGAGCCCGUUAUCUUCUGAAGGACACAAACUCAUCCGUCUCUCAGACAAAGAGCUUCCUCGUCAUGAAACUUCCCGUGUGAUACAUCACUGUAGGAAUGAUAAUGUCCAUGAUGAUCCCAGUGGCGUUGAAAGAAACCGUGUUACUACACCCUCUGAUGUGUUAUCAGGACCACAGUGUUACGACACUGUGUGUACACAGUCUAUGCUGCAGGACGUCGUCCUGUGCAUCACUCUUUACAACGGUGGGUAAGUAAGUGUGACGACAGACUGGUUGACAUGAAAACGAGUCGGAAGACUCAAAGACAAAAA